UAGUAUUUCAGUAUAGGCUCAUACGUUGUAUAUGUCUUAUUUGCAGGUGUAUUCACCUGAUCUGGUACAUCACCUGCUAUAUAUGGAUUAAUCUUGCACAAGCCUCCUCUUAUUAUAUGACGUAACACUUUGGUUCUUGUACAAUUGAAAACCAUUGUUUGUCCUUACAAAUGCGGUGAAGCUGUAGAGGAGAAGAAGGACCACCAGUUUGCAGAUUAAACCACAUCAGACCCUAGGUAUCACCAUCCUCAUAGACUGGGUAUAAACUAGCAAGGAAUUUUCAACAACACCCCUAAGGAAGUUGCGAGGAUUAAAGAUUGCCAAGAAAUUCCAGUUGGUCAUAUUGUCUAUGGCCCAUCAAGUAUUCAGCAAUCGGAACUUGGAAUUAGUCUGCAGACAUAUAUCUAUGUGUCUCCUUUGAAAAUUUAAUAAAUGCAUAUCUCUUUAGGCUUU